rnacentral:rRNA from 1 species
UGGGGAAUAUUGGACAAUGGGCGAAAGCCUGAUCCAGCCAUGCCGCGUGUGUGAAGAAGGUCUUCGGAUUGUAAAGCACUUUAAGUUGGGAGGAAGGGCAGUUACCUAAUACGUGAUUGUUUUGACGUUACCGACAGAAUAAGCACCGGCUAACUCUGUGCCAGCAGCCGCGGUAAUACAGAGGGUGCAAGCGUUAAUCGGAAUUACUGGGCGUAAAGCUCGCGUAGGUGGUUUGUUAAGUUGGAUGUGAAAUCCCCGGGCUCAACCUGGGAACUGCAUUCAAAACUGACUGACUAGAGUAUGGUAGAGGGUGGUGGAAUUUCCUGUGUAGCGGUGAAAUGCGUAGAUAUAGGAAGGAACACCAGUGGCGAAGGCGGCCACCUGGACUGAUACUGACACUGAGGUGCGAAAGCGUGGAGAGCAAACA